CGACUCUGGUUUCUCUUCACACGCACAAGCUUUCGCCUUUACUAAAGACUUCCGUGGAGAGGAACACUUACGAGUUCAACGUAUUUUUGGAAGGGCUUUGCUUUCUGGCAGAGC
rnacentral:snRNA from 1 species